CUAAAAUUAGCUACUUGCUCUUUUUUAAUUAGUUCUUAGUGUGUUAAAAUUUUCUAAGAACCAAUUAGAAAAUUACAAAUGGCUAGUUUUAG
rnacentral:pre_miRNA from 1 species